AAGGGAGAAAAAUCAAGACCAUCCUGGCACCCAUAACCCAGAAUGAAACUAUUGAAGUCAGAAGAGAAUACAUCCUCAAAGGUCUCUGCAUGUACCUGAAUGAAGACCCAGAGAAGCUGGUGAAGGAAUACCUGGAUGUCAAUGAAGGUGCUCAAACG